GCGAAGUAGCUCAGUUGGCUAGAGCACACGGUUCAUACCCGUGGUGUCGAGAGUUCGAAUCUCCCCCUUCGCU
rnacentral:tRNA from 1 species